GAAAUGCGAUACGUAGUGUGAAUUGCAGAAUUCCGUGAAUCAUCGAAUCUUUGAACGCAUAUUGCGGUCGAGGCUUCGGCUGAGACCAUGUCUGCCUCAGCGUCGGAGUAAACCCUCACCCCUCUUUGACAGCAGUCAAAGCGGGGUGGAGCUGGUCUCCCCAGCGCCUGGAUCACUGGGUUGGCUGAAAUGCAGAGGUACGCGCACGGACCUGUAUGGCACCAGCAAGGUAGGUAGCUCGUCUACUCCAGCUGGCGCUUUGGGCCCGCUGCCGCACCCGCAGGAACCACUCCUUAUCGACCUGAGAUCAGGCAAGGCUACCCGCUGAACUUAAGC
rnacentral:misc_RNA from 1 species